rnacentral:rRNA from 1 species
GACGAACGCUGGCGGCGUGCUUAACACAUGCAAGUCGAACGGAAAGGCCUGCUUUCCCUUGUGGAUUGCGGGUACUCGAGUGGCGAACGGGUGAGUAACACGUGAGUGAUCUGCCCCCAACUUGGGUAUAAGCCUGGGAAACUGGGUCUAAUUCCCGAUAGGACUGCAGGGUGGUGCCUGUGGUGGAAAACGAUUUUCUAGUGGUUGGGGAUGAGCUCGCGGCCUAUCAGCUUGUUGGUGGGGUAAUGGCCUACCAAGGCGGCGACGGGUAGCCGGCCUGAGAGGGUGGACGGACACAUUGGGACUGAGAUACGGCCCAGACUCCUACGGGAGGCAGCAGUGGGGAAUAUUGCACAAUGGGCGGAAGCCUGAUGCAGCGACGCCGCGUGGGGGAUGACGACCUUCGGGUUGUAAACUCCUUUCGACCGCGAGGAAGCCACCUGGUUGGAAGGGUGGUGACGGUAGUGGUAGAAGAAGCACCGGCUAACUACGUG